rnacentral:rRNA from 1 species
CCUACGGGAGGCAGCAGUGAGGAAUAUUGGUCAAUGGCCGGAAGCCUGAACCAGCCAAGCCGCGUGAAGGACGAAGGUGCCAAGCAUUGUAAACUUCUUUUGUCUAGGGAUAAAAUGCGGAUUGUGAGCCUGAUCGCAGGUACUUGAUGAAAAAGGAUCGGCUAACUCCGUGCCAGCAGCCGCGGUAAUACGGAGGAUGCGAGCGUUAUCCGGAUUUAUUGGGUUUAAAGGGAGCGUAGGCGGAGUGUUAAGUCAGUGGUAAAAGCCCGGGGCUCAACCCCGGUGAGCAGUUGAAACUGGCAGUCUUGAGAGGACGAGAGGUAUGCGGAAUGCGCAGUGUAGCGGUGAAAUGCUUAGAGAUUGCGCAGAACUCCGAUUGCGAAGGCAGCAUGCCGGCCGCGAUCUGACGCUGAGGCACGAAAGCGUGGGUAUCGAACAGGAUUAGAUACCCGGGUAGUC